rnacentral:rRNA from 2 species
UGGUACGAUCGUACCAGCACUAAUGCACUAGAUCCCAUCAGAAUUCAGCAGUUAAGCGUGCUUGGGCGAGAGUAAUACUACGAUGGGUGACCUCCUGGGAAGUCAUCGUGUUGCACCUC